GGGCUUUUAGUUUAACGGUAAAACGCACCGCUCAUAAUGGUUGAGAUGCAAGUUCGAUUCUUGCCGAGCCUA
rnacentral:tRNA from 1 species